rnacentral:rRNA from 1 species
UGCAAGUCGAGGGGCAGCAUGGUCUUAGCUUGCUAAGGCCGAUGGCGACCGGCGCACGGGUGAGUAACACGUAUCCAACCUGCCGUCUACUCUUGGACAGCCUUCUGAAAGGAAGAUUAAUACAAGAUGGCAUCAUGAGUCCGCAUGUUCACAUGAUUAAAGGUAUUCCGGUAGACGAUGGGGAUGCGUUCCAUUAGAUAGUAGGCGGGGUAACGGCCCACCUAGUCUUCGAUGGAUAGGGGUUCUGAGAGGAAGGUCCCCCACAUUGGAACUGAGACACGGUCCAAACUCCUACGGGAGGCAGCAGUGAGGAAUAUUGGUCAAUGGGCGCAGGCCUGAACCAGCCAAGUAGCGUGAAGGAUGACUGCCCUAUGGGUUGUAAACUUCUUUUAUAAAGGAAUAAAGUCGGGUAUGGAUACCCGUUUGCAUGUACUUUAUGAAUAAGGAUCGGCUAACUCCGUGCCAGCAGCCGCGGUAAUACGGAGGAUCCGAGCGUUAUCCGGAUUUAUUGGGUUUAAAGGGAGCGUAGAUGGAUGUUUAAGUCAGUUGUGAAAGUUUGCGGCUCAACCGUAAAAUUGCAGUUGAUACUGGAUAUCUUGAGUGCANUUGAGGCAGGCGGAAUUCGUGGUGUAGCGGUGAAAUGCUUAAAUAUCACGAAGAACUCCGAUUGCGAAGGCAGCCUGCUAACUGCAACUGACAUUGAGGCUCGAAAGUGUGGGUAUCAAACAGGAUUAGAUACCCUGGUAGUCCACACGGUAAACGAUGAAUACUCGCUGUUUGCGAUAUACUGCAAGCGGCCAAGCGAAAGCGUUAAGUAUUCCACCUGGGGAGUACGCCGGCAACGGUGAAACUCAAAGGAAUUGACGGGGGCCCGCACAAGCGGAGGAACAUGUGGUUUAAUUCGAUGAUACGCGAGGAACCUUACCCGGGCUUAAAUUGCAGAUGAAUUACGGUGAAAGCCGUAAGCCGCAAGGCAUCUGUGAAGGUGCUGCAUGGUUGUCGUCAGCUCGUGCCGUGAGGUGUCGGCUUAAGUGCCAUAACGAGCGCAACCCUUGUUGUCAGUUACUAACAGGUUCCGCUGAGGACUCUGACAAGACUGCCAUCGUAAGAUGUGAGGAAGGUGGGGAUGACGUCAAAUCAGCACGGCCCUUACGUCCGGGGCUACACACGUGUUACAAUGGGGGGUACAGAGGGCCGCUACCACGCGAGUGGAUGCCAAUCCCAAAAACCUCUCUCAGUUCGGACUGGAGUCUGCAACCCGACUCCACGAAGCUGGAUUCGCUAGUAAUCGCGCAUCAGCCACGGCGCGGUGAAUACGUUCCCGGGCCUUGUACACACCGCCCGUCAAGCCAUGGGAGCCGGGGGUACCUGAAGUGCUUAACCGCGAGGAG